rnacentral:miRNA from 1 species
UGACUAGAUCCCACACUCGUCCGG